rnacentral:rRNA from 1 species
AGGACGGAACGCUGGCGGCGUGCUUAACACAUGCAAGUCGAGCGGAAAGGCCCUUCGGGGUACUCGAGCGGCGAACGGGUGAGUAACACGUGAGUAACCUGCCCCUAGCUCUGGGAUAGCUCCGGGAAACCGGGAUUAAAUACCAGAUAUGACCACUUUAGACAUCUGUCGUGGUGGAAAGGAUUCCGGCUAGGGAUGGGCUCGCGGCCUAUCAGCUUGUUGGUGGGGUAACGCCUACCAAGGCGACGACGGGUA